rnacentral:rRNA from 1 species
AACGGCCGCAGUACUUUGACUGUGCUAAGGUAGCAAAAUAAUUUGGCUUUUAAUUUAAGUCGAGUAUGAAUGGCAUCAUGGGUGUAAGCUGUCUCAUUAAUUAUUUAUAAAUUUAAUAAGUAGGUGAAAAUGCUUACAAAUAAACAUUAGACGAGAAGACCCUUAGAGUUUUUAAUAUAUAAUUAAAAGUUCAUUAUCCUUUUUUGUUGGGGCGACAAAGUAGCAUAUAAAGCAUACUUACCAUAUGUUAGACAAGUCUUUUAUAUUUAUGAAUAUAACUACCUAAGGGAUAACAGCAUAAUUUUAUUUAAAGAUUGUGACCUCGAUGUUGGACUAGGGACUAAAUGUGUUAGCCAUACA